ACCUGUCACUCAGACCAUUGUUCAACGAGUGAUGAAGCUUCGAGUCGCGACGACCGGAAAUUGGAUUAUUAAUAUUCCGAUCAAAUAGAACAGAUCGAGUUUUGAGGUUUCUUCUUGAUUUGCUGAACACUUACAGAAUUCUGAGUCUUUGUUUCAGACGGAUAGCAUCUGCAGUUCUUUUCUCCAUUUAGCCAUUUAUUCAUUUGCAGAAGACAGCUGCAUUGGAAACAGAGCUGAACACCACUCUGCUACUUCAUCCCAGGAGCUCAGAGGUCCCCACCUUGAUAUCACCAGCCUGAGUGAGACUCUAGGAACAGCUGAACAAGAAUGAGCAAGUCUGGACUCUCAUCAAUGAACAUCCCAUCAAUCUCUCAGUGACUUUUACUGGAACCAACGUGUUAUGCACUUUAGUGCUUAAACCACAGCCCUGGAACUUACAGAUGAGGUCAUGAAGGCCAUCCGAUCCAAUCUUGAAACAUCCCGAAUCCAUAACCCAGAGAAAUGCACACUGCUGCUGCUUGAUGACUUUAUUGUCAAGUGGGAAAGUUUGCUGCCGUCUGAAAAGGUGUUUUUGGCAAAGCGUGUGGGUUAGAGUUAAUACCAAUCCCAACAGAAUGAAUCUCUUGACAAAUGUUUGCAACAUAGUCUCGUCAAAGUGAUGAGCACAAGAUCUGAUGACUUCAGUCACAAGUGACACAAUCACUAGUAACGCAACAAAAAGUCAACAGAAUACCAAGCAAGUAUUUUGCCUGGAAUCAAUCAAAUUAAGUUUUACACCUGUCAUCUGUAGGAUAUUAAAAUGAGACAUUAUAAAUGAAAUUAAUGUUAUGCUGCCUUGAUAAGCACAUCACUGGAUGGAUUUAAUUAGUUAGUCACUUUCUAAAUUCCAUGGAUAAACCUAUUCUGACCCAGUACACACACCAAUCAGAUUAUGUGGAUAGACACAAAAAGCUGAAGUAACUCAGCUGGACAGGCAGCAUCUCUGGAGAGAAGGAAUGGGUCAUGUUUCAGGUCGAGACCCUUCUUCAGACUGGUUAGGGAUAAGGGAAACGAGAGAUAUAGACGAUGAUGUACAGAGAUAAAGAACAACGAAUGACAGAUAUGCAAAAAAAACCAAUGAUAAAGGAAACAGGCUAUUGUUAGCUGUUUGUUGGGUGAAAACCAGAAGCUAGUGUGAGUUGGGUGGGGGAGGGAUAGAGAGAGAGGGAAUGCCAGCACCACCUGAAGUUAGAAAAAAAUCAUUUUUCGUACCACCGGGCUGUAAGCUGCCCAAGCGAAAUAUGAGAUGCUGUUCCUCCAAUUUAGCCGUAUUCUGGCAAUGGAGGAGACCUAGGACAGAAAGGUCUGUGUGGGAAUGGGAAGGAGAAUUAAAGCGUUUUGCAACUGGGAGAUCAGGUAGGUUCAUGCAGACUGAGCGAAGGUGUUCCGCAAAACGAUCGCCCAGUCUGCGUUUGUUCUUGCCGAUGUAUAAGAGUUCACAUUUUGAACAACGGAUACAGUAGAUGAGGUUGGAGGAGGUGCAAGUGAACCUCUGCCUAACCUGUAUGGAUUGUCGUGGUCCCUGGACAGUCGAGGGAGGAGGUAUAGGGACAGGUUCUGCGGUUGGAGGGGAAGGUACCUGGGGAGGGGGUGGUUUAGGUGUGAAGGGAUGAGUGAUUAUGUAAUUCUGAGCAAGAGAAAGCCAUGGAUGUCUGCAUUUUCUGCUCCACGACAGGAAUGAUGACCACUGCCUACACCAUGCUGUUAUCUCCAUUGCUCUAGGUCCAAACAAAGGCAGCAACAGCAAUAUCAGUGUGGAAAUCUGAAGGACCAUGCUCAGAUACACCACACAGCACUCCCUGUAGAGUCUGCACACAAUUUUGGGCGAAGGUAUUCAUCAAUAUCUCCAAUCUCGCAGAGCCAUAGUGGGAGCAAGUUAUUUUCUCUUGGACAGCAUCCCAUGAUAAAUUCCCAAGGCCCCACCCUCCCCCACACUACAGACCCUCCCUUCAAGCAACUGCCAAAUAAGUACUAUGUAACAAUUUCUCACUAUGUAAGAUAAAGUAGCCAACAUGGAAAGAGCUGGAGGAAAUCUAGACAAUUCCCAGUUAACCUGAUGAUUUUUCAGCCAAUGCAGUUGAGUGAUUAUGUCUUUUUUAUUAAUAAAGGGGGUUUCAACACCAUUAGCCCUGAUUUGCUAAUGCUUGUUUAACGGGUCUGUAAGCUGGUGGCAUUUUCUUGAGUCUUGGGCCAAAACAAUAAAAAGAUAACAUGGAUUGGUUGAUAAGUAAAACAUACUUUCAAAGCAUUAAAUAUUUUGUGAUUCUUCAUUGUAAUAGUUCCUUGUUCAAAGACUGAAGCGGUUGUCUAAAUUCAACGGAAGAGUGGCAUGAAUAUCAGGUUGUUUGUAAUUGCAAGGUCCUGUGGAGUUACAGAUCACCAGCAGAUUGGUUUACACACAAUCACUAGUGACACAAUAAAAGGUCAACUGGACACC